rnacentral:lncRNA from 1 species
GCUUGCAUUUAAAGGCAAUCUGCCUCCAAGUAACUAUUAACAGCACCACUGGAGACAGCUACCCAGUCUAACUCAGGUCCCAGCAGAGUGCUUUCCAGGAAGUGAAGGAACCCAUGUGGCCCAUGGUGGAAAGGACAGAAACAAGAAGCGCUGGCAGGGCCUACAGAGGGAAGCUAGCACGGCCAUUUGGCCAACAGCCUCAAGGUUGAGGGAGCCUCAAAUUUUGGCUGCCAUUCAAUGAUGCAUUUAUGCAGAGGAACAGGAGGGGCCUUUUCGCCAAUACAGAGCUUGACCUUGAACUAUAUCAUUUUCUAAGAGGCACACUGCAAAACAUUACAGAAGCUGUUGUCAUGGUUACUCAUGGGCGGCUGCCGAUUGUGGUAGUGAAGAGGUUUUGGCUGCCGGGGCUGUACUGCUGAAAGAGAAUGGGGGUUUUGUGUGUGUGUGUGUGUGUGUGUGUGUUAAAACUACUCCUACACACUGGGCAACCUCUCUCCGAGAGAGCUCUGAGAUAGGCAAUGACUAUUUAAUUGUAUGCACUGCUUUUCAUAUUGUAAUUAUAUCACCGGAUGAGGAAUCUUUGAAAACAUACAAUUUCUCAUUUGAAUCUCAU